rnacentral:rRNA from 1 species
GAUGAACGCUGACAGAAUGCUUAACACAUGCAAGUCGAUUCGAUUUACCUUCGGGUAUUGAGGAUGGCGGACGGGUGAGUAACGCGUAAGGAACUUGCCUCUUGGUCUGGGACAACUGUUGGAAACGACAGCUAAUACCGGAUAUUAUGAGAUUCUCGCAUGGGAAACUUAUGAAAGCUAUAUGCGCCAAGAGAGAGCCUUGCGUUCCAUUAGCUAGUUGGUGGGGUAACGGCCCACCAAGGCGACGAUGGAUAGCCGGCCUGAGAGGGUGAACGGCCACAAGGGGACUGAGACACGGCCCUUACUCCUACGGGAGGCAGCAGUGGGGAAUAUUGGACAAUGGACCAAAAGUCUGAUCCAGCAAUUCUGUGUGCACGAUGAAGGUCUUCGGAUUGUAAAGUGCUUUCAGUUGGGAAGAAGCAAGUGACGGUACCAACAGAAGAAGCGACGGCUAAAUACGUGCCAGCAGCCGCGGUAAUACGUAUGUCGCAAGCGUUAUCCGGAUUUAUUGGGCGUAAAGCGCGUCUAGGCGGAAAAAUAAGUCUGAUGUUAAAAUGCGGGGCUCAACUCCGUAUUGCGUUGGAAACUGUUUUUCUAGAGUACUGGAGAGGUGGGCGGAACUACAAGUGUAGAGGUGAAAUUCGUAGAUAUUUGUAGGAAUGCCGAUGGAGAAGUCAGCUCACUGGACAGAUACUGACGCUAAAGCGCGAAAGCGUGGGGAGCAAANAGGAUUAGAUACCCUGGUAGUCCACGCCGU